CUAGUACUGGGGAGAUAAUGGUAAACAAAACCAGAAAUGUACCAAAUGUCCAAGAAUAGUGUAAUAUUGUAAUCUGUUAGGUAAAUUUGACCUACUCAUUAAGGCAAAGAUAGGCUUUCCCAAAAAGUGGUAAUUGAGUUGAGGUCUGAAGGAGAAACAGGGUUAUCUAGGAGAAAAUAGGGGAAGAGCAUCCCAAGCCGGUGAAACAACAAGCAACAUCCCUUUGGUGGGAAGGAGCUUGGCAGAAAAUGUCCUGGGCAUGCAGGGCAGAGUGAACAGAAUGUCACCAUGGAGUGUGAUGAGCUUGAAGAUUAUGAAUGUACAACACCAGGACUGGAUCCUAAAGUAAACUAUGGACUGUGAUGUGUCAGUGGAGGUUCAUCCUUCAUAGAAAAUGGACCAUUCUGUUCUUCCUACCUUGUGGGCGCAUAUGAUGAAGACCAUCUCAUUGUUACCAAAAAAUAAGGAG